rnacentral:rRNA from 1 species
ACCCUGAUGCAGCCAUGCCGCGUGUGUGAAGAAGGCCUUCGGGUUGUAAAGCACUUUCAGUCGUGAGGAAGGCAUAUGCGUUAAUAGCGCAUGUGUUUGACGUUAGCGACAGAAGAAGCACCGGCUAACUCCGUGCCAGCAGCCGCGGUAAUACGGAGGGUGCGAGCGUUAAUCGGAAUUACUGGGCGUAAAGCGCAUGCAGGCGGCUUGUUAAGCCAGAUGUGAAAGCCCGGGGCUCAACCUCGGAAUAGCAUUUGGAACUGGCAGGCUAGAGUCUUGUAGAGGGGGGUAGAAUUUCAGGUGUAGCGGUGAAAUGCGUAGAGAUCUGAAGGAAUACCGGUGGCGAAGGCGGCCCCCUGGACAAAGACUGACGCUCAGAUGCGAAAGCGUGGGGAGCAAACAGGAUUAGCUCCCCUGGUAGUCCACGCCGUAAACGAUGUCUACUUGGAGGUUGGUGUCUUGAACACUGGCUUUCGGAGCUAACGCGUUAAGUAGACCGCCUGGG